rnacentral:piRNA from 1 species
UGAAAAGUAACGCCUAGGUCAGCAAGAAGU